rnacentral:lncRNA from 1 species
CCUGCCCUGGCCCCAAGCUCUAUUUGAGCUCAGCCCCAGCUCUGAAUCCUGCUUGGUGCUGUGCCCUGCUGGUGCUGGGACCCUUUGUGUGGGGUCACCUCUGGCUCUUGCCCUGUGGGGUAAUGCAGUUGUGCUGCUCCCUGGUAGUGCUGUGACUUCUGCAUGCUCACACGUCUUCCUCCUGGGCUUCACUACUGGAGUAACUGGGUUUAUGUUGGUGUAACUGUGUCCCCAGAGCUGCAUGAAAUGUUCACAACAAAACCUGGAAUUAUGUGAGACCAGCAGAACUUCACUGUUUGGGGGUUUCAUUACAAAUUUGAAUCUCAGAUCAAGCUCGUCAAAGGAUUCCUUAAGGCCAUAG